CUGGCCUCUUUAUGGGAAUGAGGGUUGUGGCUGGGCAGGGUGGCUCCUGUCCCCCCGCGGCUCUCGCCCUCAUUGGGGCCC
rfam:Hepatitis C virus subtype 6e N12-2804-Cam gene for polyprotein, complete cds